CGAUAUUUUCCAGCUUGUGGGGCGAAAAAGUGGCGCACGGGUGCGUAACGCGUAUGCCCCCUACCUUACUCGGGGGGAUAGCCCGAAAAAUUUCAGAUUAACCCCGUAUAAUAUCACCGCACAGCUUUGUGUAGUGAUCAAAUAUUUAUGAGAUUAAUAUGGGCGUGCGUGACUUUAUUUAUUUGGCGGGGUAACGGCCCCCCAACACCACGAUGUCUGGGGGAUCUGAGAGGAUGACCCCCCACACUGGUACUGACACACGGACCACACUCCUAGGGGAGGCAGCAGUAGAGAAUAUUGGUCAGUGGAGGCAACUCUGAACCAGCCGUGCCGCGUGCGAGAAGACUGCCCUCUGGGUCGUAAACUGCUUUUAUUCGGGAAUAAACCUCUUUAUGUAUAGAGAGCUGAAUGUACCGAAAGAAUGGAGAUCGGCUAACUCCGUGCCAGCACCCGCGGUAAUACAGAAGAUCCAAGCGUUAUCCGGAUUUAUUGGUUUUAAGGGGUGCGUACGCGGUUUUUUAACUCAGGGGUGAAACACGGUAUCACAACUAUCACAGUGCCCUUGAUACUGAAGAUCUUGAGUGGACUAGAUGUACGCGGAGUGUGACGAGUAGCGGAGAAAUGCAUAUAUAUGUCACA
rnacentral:rRNA from 1 species